GUCACCUUAACACUGAAAUCCUUAGUGGUGAAACUGCCAAGUCCGUUUGCGAUAUUAUAACAGCAAACAACCAACACGUUUUUUUCCCCCUCUGGCAUCAUUGCACGCGUGAUAGAGGAGCAGAAUAUGUACUGCAAUUUUUUUUACAGGAUUGCAAGAAGGUCCACACCUCCGCUUUUUCCCCCUUCUGCGGAUUCCAUCUUUAAGGUCUUCUGCUGCCAUGCAGUAUCCGGGAGAGGAAAGGGGGGUAGAUGGAACAAGCUUGUCUCCGGUAGUGUUCUGGCACACUGCCUUGACCAAUGGAACCAGCUGUGGCUGGGCACCUGGCACCAUUUUCCAGUCCCGAUUCCAGUCCCCGUCCUGGGUCCAUUCUCCCAAGAUGUCGAAACACUCACAAGGUCAGAGGUCAGCGUCCACUGCUUCGGUCGGAAGAUAGGUGAGUGAAGAUGAAAUUGUGCAUCGAGUGACUUCUGAUUGCCCAGCAAUCUGCCCACUCAUCCCAUCCCUUCCUCCAUCUGAUCACAUCAUAUAAAGCAACUGUUAAUGUCAUGUUGUCAUUAUCUGCUAAUAAAGUUUGCUAGCCAUAUCAUACUAGGGAUAUAUAGUAUGUGAGAUACACAGAUGAACUAAAAACACUAGCAGGGCAAACACUCGGAACAAACAGAGCAGCAGUGCCUGGACUUUGCAGUCUCCCUAUUCAAGUCCCCCUUCCGUGACUGCCUGUUGAGAACAAGUGACGGGCAGAACCUCCCAACCACACAGCACCCAUCUCUUUAUUCCACACACCAGAAUUAAGUAUUUCAGUCUGAUUGCCAUGCGAGUUUACAAAACAUAAUCUGUGAAAAUAAAUUCACGACACAACUGUACCAAAAACAAUCAGUUUAUGUAUUAAAAUCUGGAAUAUUGCCAAGUUGGUUUUCACAGCUGUUUCAUAAGGUGUUCAUUAUUGAAAAUAAAUCCUUUGAAGGUAUUUAUUUGUUCCACAUUAUUCAUUGUUGUAUCCUAGGACCUACAAUAGA